rnacentral:rRNA from 1 species
UACCGGUUGUUCGCGGUUGU